GACGAACGCUGGCGGCGUGCUUAACACAUGCAAGUCGAACGGAAAGGCCCUGCUUUUGUGGGGUGCUCGAGUGGCGAACGGGUGAGUAACACGUGAGUAACCUGCCCUUGACUUUGGGAUAACUUCAGGAAACUGGGGCUAAUACCGGACAGGAGCUCCUGCUGCAUGGUGGGGGUUGGAAAGUUUCGGCGGUUGGGGAUGGACUGGCGGCUCAUCAGCUUGUUGGUGGGGUAGUGGCUUACCAAGGCAUUGACGGGUAGCCGGCCUGAGAGGGUGACCGGGCACAGAGGGACUGGGAUACGGGCAGGAGUCCUACGGGAGGCAGCAGUGGAGAAUAUUGCGCAAUGGGCGGAAGCCUGAUGCAGCAACGCCGGGUGGGGGAUGACGGCCUUAGGGUUGUAAACCGCUUUCGCCUGUAACGAAGCGUGAGUGACGGUAAUGGGUAAAGAAGCACCGGCUAACUACGUG
rnacentral:rRNA from 1 species